UCUUUGCUACAACAUUGUCCAGUCGCUGUCCUUGCAGAUAUGGGUUCACACUCUGAAAAAAAAUGUAAAAUUAUUUAUAUUUAUUAGAAACAGGAAAAUACAGAAAAGGUAACUAGGAAUAGUGGACAUAUGCAUAUAUUUCUAUAUGUCAAACAUUAACAGACAAAGAAAAAAAAAAUUACUCCCAGGGAGUAAAAUCUAACAGUCAACCAGUGCUUUGCUUUCUAAUACAUUUUUUGUGUGUGAGAAUUUAAUCCAAUCCACUAAAACCAAAAAACUGCUACCUACCCCGCAGUGUGGACAAGUGGAGGAGGACUACCCAGAGUACAGGACAGGCUGGGUUAAACACUGUCUUUUUCCUCUGCUCCUCCUUUCCCAGUUCAGCAGAGAAGCAGCAGAUCUAAUCCCCUCAUUCUUGAGGCAGGAGAGAACUCACUGUGGCUGUACAGCCCAUCUCACCGGGAAACCUAUCUUUGCUCCCUUUCUUGAUGCUGAGAUAAAAAACUGCUGGCACAGAAGCAGAGCCAAGCAAAAUUUUGGCAUAGGAAAUGGCCCUCGUACCACUGCCAGAACAAGGGAAUGCUGGAAAGAAGAUCCCUGGCGAGGCUUUGACUUCGCUUCGCGCCAUGUAAGCAGCACAACGUGAACCUGAAGAUGAACAGAUCCUGUCUCAAAACUGUUUGGACAUCAUGGUAAUGUAGAAAGCCUCUGCUUGAGUUUUAUCUGUACCAAUUAAAUAAAAUGUGUUAAUUGUAUCUGCAAGUAUCAAGCAGCUUUGUGGAGCUUUAAAAUUAAAGGAGUAUUACUUACAUACACCCACUGUGUCUGUGUAUGCAAAAUGCAAUCGCAUGUUCUCUACUUCAUGAAUACAGACAAAAAAUCUAGUGUGCUGGUUUUUGAUGACAAUAAAAUUAUUUGCCUCUCUAGGGAUAAACUUUGGAGGAAUUCAAAUUUUCUAGUAUCUCCUGAUUCUCAUCAGACUUCUCCAUCAUAUAAAUUACUUUUCUUGAGAUGUCUCUUUCACUAAAAACUAGGAGUUCAAAACUAGGCAAAAACAAAGAAAAAAACUUAAAAUAUAUAUGAAAUACUUCUUUUCAAAUAUCCCAAGUAUUUGUCAAAUCUCU